UUACGGCCGUAUCACAUUAAAACCACGGUUCCCGUACGAUCUCUGAAGUUAAGCAACGUCGAGCUUGGUCAGUUCUUAGAUAGGUAACCGUUUGCAAAUACCAGGUGCUGUAAG